UUUAACGAGAGUUUGAUCCUGGCUCAGGAGGAACGCUGGCCGCGUGCUUAAUACAUGCAAGUCGAACGAAGAGCCCUUAACCGAAGAUGAUGACGUGCUUGCACUGAAUCUGAUUCACCUUAGGGUUACUGAGUGGCGGACGGGUGAGUAACGCGUGGGUAACCUGCCUUAGACAGGGGGAUAACAUCAAGAAAUUGGUGCUAAUACCGCAUAUGCUCACAGCAUCGCAUGAUGCAGUGAGGAAAACUCCGGUGGUCUAAGAUGGACCCGCGUCUGAUUAGCUAGUUGGAGGGGUAACGGCCCACCAAGGCGACGAUCAGUAGCCGACUUGAGAGAGUGAUCGGCCACAUUGGGACUUAGACACGGCCCAAAC
rnacentral:rRNA from 1 species